UACCUGGUUGAUCCUGCCAGUAGUAGUCAUAUGCUUGUCUCAAAGAUUAAGCCAUGCAUGUGUAAGUAUGAACUAAUUCAGACUGUGAAACUGCGAAUGGC
rnacentral:ncRNA from 1 species